GACCAGUGCCAUUCAACACGCCAUCGGAGUUUCCACCCAGAGAAGCUGAGACUUCGCCGACUGCCUGACAUCUUUCACUUUGAGCUGGAUAACUGUAGUGUCUUUCCAAAGUCACUGCCUCGAAACACCAGCUUGUCAGACUCUGGACUGUCUCCCAGCAAAGCACUGGCCUUCACAGAGCCCCGCAAGAGCAGCUCACUACAUGGAUUUCAUGGUUGGCUAAGAGGCCAGGAGGAGAAGUUUGAAGAAUGCCGCAGCCCACGGUUCAAUUGCUGAGAGCCGAGUGAACAACCAGUCGCAAUUCCAAAUUCUACAGCAGAGGUGUCUGAGCUGGGCGCUGGGGCAGGGCUCAGAGGAGGGAGACAGGCUAACCCGGGGCCUCUGAGGAGACACGCAGCCAGGGAGGGGGAGUGGAGUCCAGAAAGCAAGUUUGAGACGCCGUACGAGGAGCGUGUUUGUGUGCCGAGGAGAAGACGUGGCAAAAAGGUCCCUGUGGGUCUUUACUACUGAAUUUCUGGAAUGCCCAGUGAUCUUCUGGUCCUAGAGCUUCAGCGUUUGGUCUCCUGUGGGACGUUUGUUGUUUGGGCUGCAUUUAGACGGAGUUAGCUGUUCUCACAAGUAUUGUUAUACGUAUGAUCGUAUUCUGCAUAUCGAGCUGUACUGCAUAGACGGUUCACAUUGUACGUCGCAGUGGGUCCUGUGUGGUAUAUUCUGUGCUGGGUGAUGAGCACACAGAGGGACGAUACUUUACCUGCUCAAACGCAAUAACACGACGUGACAUGACGUCACGUCAUCCCAUGGCGACCUUGGGAGAAUGGAGCAGAGUCUAGACUGGGUGCCGUGGACACCAUAGACCUGUGGUGACGCGCCUCCACGAUCAGGCGUGUUUGUCGAGCCUGCUCUCCUCCUCGGGUCUCGUAUCUUGCCGUGGAUGGCUACUCCUCCCGCCCCACCCCACCCCAGGCCAUCUCUCCCUCCACUGCGCCCAUCCACCCCCCCCACCCGCCGCUGACAACACUCCGUAUCUCCAUGCCACCCUCUGCCACUGCUCAUACCACAUAUUCUUAAAUUAAAAAAAAAAAAAUGUUAAGACCUAUAGCAUCAACGGGACCGUGAGCUGCUUUCGGGCCAAGCAGCGACUUUUGCGUCUCUCUUGAUUCAGACACGUGCCCCCCAGCACAAGACGGCUCCUCGCACAUUCUUCUCUUAACCUGUAACUUAGAGCAAUCACCGCGCACCAGGCCCAGUGGUGUUUGGUGGCGGUGGGUAGAAGGCAAAGCAAAACGACCACCACAGAGGCAAACACGCCUAUUCCAGACAAGAAAAAAACACCCCGGGCACCGCAAAAGAUUAACAUCACCUGUAAGGUGCUGCCUGAAGACGGCCUGGAGCUGGAACUGGGUCGGGUGCGACCGGCCUGACAGGGGGGAUCCCGGUGAAUCCACCCAGAGACGCGUCUGCUCUCCUCGGGGCAACUCCUGACACGGGCCACACUUGGUCACUUCCCUUCCAACCUCCCGACGCUAUCUGUUUCAUUCCCAAACAUGCCAGCUCUUCUCUCCCUUACUCACUUAGUGAAUUAAAAAAGAAAUGAG